UGUGCAGUAGAGAGAAGAGAAAGGAAGAGGAGAAGAAGGGGAAGGGAAGGGCAGCAAGGAAAAGCAAGGAGAAGAGGGGAAGAGGAGGUUUGGGGCUAGAGGAUUUUGGGGUUUUCUUGCUGUGGUGCCCUAAGGUGAUGGUUCUUCGUCUCACACUUGAAGUUGGCCAUUAUCGUCGGUAGAAGGUAUUUGAUGCAUAUCGUGAAGGGAUGGGAAUGUAGCAGCACGUUUUGCACUUCAUGCCUAUAUUUUUUUUUAUCGUUGUGCUGCAAUAAUAAAUAAAGUUUAGUCCUU